rnacentral:rRNA from 1 species
UACGGAGGGUGCGAGCGUUGUCCGGAAUCAUUGGGCGUAAAGGGCGCGUAGGUGGCCCGGUCAGUCCGUGGUGAAAGCGCGGGGCUCAACCCUGCGUCGGCCGUGGAUACUGCUGUGGCUGGAGCACUGUAGAGGCAGGCGGAAUUCCGGGUGUAGCGGUGGAAUGCGUAGAGAUCCGGAGGAACACCAAUGGCGAAGGCAGCUCGCUGGAACGGUACUGACGCUGAGGCGCGAAAGCGUGGGGAGCAAACAGG